rnacentral:rRNA from 1 species
GGAAUUUUUCGCAAUGGGGGAAACCCUGACGAAGCAACGCCGCGUGGAGGAUGAAGGCCUUCGGGUCGUAAACUCCUGUCAACGGGGACGAAAGCAGUCGGUCUAAUACACCGUUCUGUUGACUGCACCUGUGGAGGAAGCCCCGGCUAACUCUGUGCCCGCAGCCGCGGUAAUACAGAGGGAGCAAGCGUUGUUCGGAAUUACUGGGCGUAAAGGGCGCGUAGGCGGUCUGGAAAGUCCCGCGUGAAAUCCCCCGGCUCAACUGGGGAACUGCGUGGGAAACUGCCAGUCUUGAGUUCGGGAGAGGGAAGCGGAAUUCCGGGUGUAGCGGUGAAAUGCGCAGAUAUCCGGAGGAACAUCGGUGGCGAAGGCGGCUUCCUGGACCGACACUGACGCUGAGGCGCGAAAGCUAGGGGAGCAAAC